GAAUCACCCAAAAGCUCGAACCUUUGACGCGGGACAACAAAGUGAACGUUCCCUCUCAUGGAGCAGUCAGAACAGUUGCAUUUCCAAGCAAUAACACUAGCAGGUGCUUGGACUUUCCAUCUUACAUUCUUACAGUGGCAACCGCCAUUGUGCAGUACUAACUCGGAUUCCAUGCCAACAACAACCAGGGGAAGUGAAAGUUUAUUCUAAAGCUGAUUCCGUAGUAGAUAACUCAGCUCAAAUGCAAUAGGAUAUCCUAACAAUGACCAUGCAAUGAAACCAUUAAUCCCACAUCUUAAUAACUCAGUUCAAAUGCAACAGCAGUACCAUAUAGAAAUAAAACCAUUAAUCCCAAAUCUUUAUAAAUCAGCUCAUAACUAAGCUCAAAUGCAAUAGCAUCUAAGUACCAUCAUGCAAUAAAACAUCUUCAUGACUCAGUUCAAAUGCAAUAGCUUCCUAAGAACCAUCACUCAAUAAACUAUUUCCACUCCUCUUUUGACCCCACGAUAUGCAUAUAUAAGCAAUAAAAACUAAACAUGGUACUCCUAAUAUUAGAACCUCCAUGCUACUUUUACCAACUUAACACAGCACCACCCUCAAUCUGCAUCUUUAAGAAAAAAAUCCCAAAAGCCAACAGCUUAUAGCACAUAAAAAUAUCAAAUCAGAAACCUGUUUCAUUUGAGGAAAUUUUUUGUCCUAAAAUUGGGAAAUAAACUGGUGAUGGACAUACUAAUUAGCAUAAGCAAAAUCAAAACAAUAAGCAGGCUAUAAGUUUUAGAAAAUUAAUUAAACCUUUAUCAGUCUAAAAUUUGUUAAUUUCUAAAUAUCUAAAAUGGACAACAAACAAUGGAGCGAGUUUUAAUUUCAUCCAACCAAAGCGACGUAAGAAUCUCACGUGGAAAGGAACUCUGUUAGCACCUCAUACUAUGAACCGGUCAAAGCAAUCUAUCUAUGUUCGUAGGUGUCCCCGGUACCAAUAAGUGGCUGCGAGAAAUGACAGUGGGUUUCUUCCUCGAGCAUUUGAACUGAGUUAGAAUCCUAAAGCAUUUGAAUUGAAUUUGAAUCUUAAAACCAUCAAUGUUCGUCUCAUGGUUAUACAAGAAAAUAAAAAGGAAAGUAAGUGCCCACCCAUAUAUAUGCUGGGUAAAUCAUAACCUGGAGUUUAUCCAUAGAAAACUCCAAUUACAGCCAAACGUUUCAUUGCAACCAACUUGGGAACAAAAGUUAGAAAUCACAUAUACAUUCAUACAGUCACACAGGUACCAUAUACAUAUAGCAUCCGGUUCCACGAAGCCCCAAUAUACAGCCACUGAUAAACCUGAAGUGAGAGCUACAAGGUGGAAUGAAUUUUAGAUUGUAAAGCAAUGCCACUCUGAUCAUAGAAGUUUUACAAAUUCUUGCCAUCGAAAUGCCGAAUCUUAACAUGGGAAAGUGUUCCAGAGUCUAACAUGCAAGUGUUGCAGCAAUGCCAUUGGGAUUCAACCGUUGGGUAUAGAAUGAAGUUAUUCCACAAACCUUACAAAACGUAUGCUUUGCAGUGUGAGUUCCGAAAGUGUAGGUAGUAAUGAACACCUCCGAAUCACCCAAAAGCUCGAACCUUUGACGUGGGACAACGAAGUGAAUGGUUCCUCUCAUGGAGCAGUUGGAACAGUUGCAUUUCCAAGCAACAACACUAGUAGGUGCUUGGACAUGCCAUCUUACAUUCUUACAGUGGCAACCGCCAUAGUGCAGUACUAACUCAGAGUCUAUGCCAACAACAACGAUGGUGAGCACAAGUUUAUCCUAAACUGAUUCCGUAAUCUGAAACUCAGUUCAAAGGCAUUAGCAGCCUGACAACCAUCAUGCAAUGAAACCAUUAAUCCCAGAACUCCAUUACUCGGUUCAUAACUCAGUUCAAAUGCAAUAGCAUCUUAAGUACCAUCACGAUUCAUGAAAUGAAACCAUUAAUCCCAAAUCUUCAUAACUCAGUUCAAAUGUAAUAGCAUCCUAACAACAAUCAAGCAAUGAACCAUUUCCACUUCUCUUUUAACCCCACAAAACGCAUAAAUAUAAUCAAUGAAAACUGAACACAACACCCUUAAUCUUCAUCUUAAGAAAAAAAAAGAAGGAAAACAAUUGUCAACACCUUACAUGGAAAGAAGAAAAAAAAAUCCCAAAAAUCAACAGCUUAUAGAACAAAAGAUAAAAUCAAAAACCUGUUUAUCUUCAUCACAAAAUGGGGAAAUGAACUAGAGAUGAACAUACUAACUAGAAUAAGCAAAAUCAAAACAGUCAGCAGGCUAGAAGCUUUAGAAAAUUAAUUGAAACGCACACAAAAUUUUCAAUGUUAUAUAUUAGUUCAGUUAAUAAGAGGAGCUUUUGUUUUUAUUGAUUAAAUUUUUAUCAGUCUGAAAAAUAUUAAUUUCUAAAUAUUUAAAAUGAACAACAAACACUGGAGCGGCUAGCUUAACAACGUAAGAAUCUCACAUGGAAAGGAGCAACGUUAGCACUUCACACUAUGAACCGGCUAAAGCAAUAUAUCUAUGCUUGUAAGUGUCUACCCAUACCAACAAGUGCUUAGAGGAAGUGACAGUGGACUGCUUUCUUGGGCAUUUGGACUGAGUUUGAAUCCUAAAGUCGUAAUUGUUGGGAGGACCUUACCUGAAUACCACUCCCGACCUGAACAGGGUUCGUCUCAUACCAUAAAACGGAUGAGGACAGCUCUGGUUAUAGAAAAAAGAAGAAAGGGUCCACCCAUAUAUAUAUAUAUAUUGCGUAAAUCAUAACAUAGAGUUUAUUCAUAGCAAACUCCAAUUACAGCAAAACUUUUAUGGCUACCAACAAGAGAACAAAAGUUAGAACACAUAUACAUACAGACAUACAGACAGACACACACACAAGUACCAUACAUAUAGCAUCCAGUUCCAUGAAGCCCCAAUACACAUCGGAUGUAAAGUAGAAGCUAAACGACUGCAUUUUUAAAAGACAAUCAAAUUAAGGGUAAUCCUCUUUGUGAAAGCCAUUGAUAAACCUGAAAUGAGAGCUACUUGGUGGAAUGAGUUUUGGAUUGUAAAGCAAUGCCACUCUGAUCAUUCCCAAUUCUUGCCAUCGAAAUUCCGAAUCUCAACAUGGGAAAGCGUUCCAGGGUCUAAACAUGCAAGUGUCACAGCAAUGCCAUCGGGGUUCGACCGUUGGGUAUAAGUUAUUCCACAAACCUUACAAAACGUAUGCUUUGCAGUGUGAGUUCCGAAAGUGUAGGUAGUAAUGAACUCCUCUGAAUCACCCAAAAGCUCGAACCUUUGACGUGGGACAACGAAGUGAAUGGUUCCUCUCAUGGAGCAGUUGGAACAGUUGCAUUUCCAAGCAACAACACUAGUAGGUGCUUGGACUUGCCAUCUUACUUUCUUACAGUGGCAACCACCAUUGUGCAGUACUAACUCGGAUUCCAUGCUGACAAUAACCAGGACAAGUGCAAAGUU
rnacentral:lncRNA from 1 species